rnacentral:rRNA from 1 species
GACGAACGCUGGCGGCGUGCUUAACACAUGCAAGUCGAACGGAAAGGUCCCUUUGUGGGUACUCGAGUGGCGAACGGGGGAGUAACACGUGAGUAACCUGCACUUGCCUAUAGGACAACUUUAGGUAACUGGGGCCAAUACCGGAUAGGAAUACCUGCUGCAUGGGGGGGGUUGGAAAGCUUCGGCGGUUUUGGAUGGAAUCGCGGCGUAUCCGCUUGUUGGUGGGGCAGUUGCUUACCAAGGCGUUGAGGGGUAGCCGGCCUGGGUAGGCGACCGGCCACAUUGAGACUGAGAGACGGCCCAGGCUGCUACGGGAGGCAGCAGUGGGGAAUAUUGCACAAGGGGCGGAGGCCUGAUGCAGCAGCGCUGCGUGCGGGAUGACGGCGUUCGGGUUGUAGACCGCUUUCAGCAGGGGCGAAGCUUGUGGUGACGGUACCUGCAGAAGAAGCACCGGCUAACUACGUG